rnacentral:rRNA from 1 species
UACGUAGGGUGCAAGCGUUGUCCGGAAUUAUUGGGCGUAAAGAGCUCGUAGGCGGCUUGUCGCGUCUGCUGUGAAAACGCGAGGCUCAACCUCGCGCCUGCAGUGGGUACGGGCAGACUGGAGUGCGGUAGGGGAGAUUGGAAUUCCUGGUGUAGCGGUGGAAUGCGCAGAUAUCAGGAGGAACACCGAUGGCGAAGGCAGAUCUCUGGGCCGUAACUGACGCUGAGGAGCGAAAGCGUGGGGAGCGAACAGG